CAGUCUGUACUUUAUAGUACUUUAUAAGCCACAUCUGUAUUUUAUAAUGGCCAAAUUUUUUAAUCAGUUCUUGUCUCCGAGACGAAGAAUAUUUGGCCGCCGAUAUAGAGCAAAUAUUGGGCCAGUUAAACAAUCUCGGUAAUUUCUACGCGGGAUGAUGCGUCAAGCAGAUGCAUUUUGCUGCGUGCGUCUCAUGCGAUAUUAAUUAGCACACAUAAACUGCCGGUGCGAAGUCCAUUCCGUAGAUCGUAGUAGGUGCUUUAAUGUCGCGUGAUGGUUUGAAUUAGAGAUUGCGCGUAAUUGAUAUUCCUUUCCACAAAUGGUUUGUGCGGCGUAUUUGAUUCCGUGACAAAGACAGAAAAUAUUUACGGAGCUAUACGGGGUUUCCAUGUUAAUUGAAUCGUCGAGUUAAACAAUUUGCGGACAGUCUGUCAGUAUGUUUGCGUAUGUGUGUACAGGUGUGUGUUUGCGUACGACUAUCGAAUUAUUUUCUUUGGCUUCCGGGGCUUUUGUGCAUACGUCGCGAAUCGCGAAAGCGAAAAUAUUGCAUAUCCCGUAACGGCCACGAGUCAAGCUCAAGGGCGGGAUUUAUCGCGAAACUCUUGUAAACGUCGGCUCUGUGACGUACUGUUGCGAUACCCGAUGACUCUCAGCAAUACAAAGCUACUUGAUACAUUUUGGCGUUUCGCGCUGUGCGAAUGCGAUUGCAGGAUUAAACGCGACAUUCUGUUUGCUUUCAAUAUUUAUCCGCGUAUCUCUAUAUGAAUGCUUUGUCGUGUCAUGUUGCGUAUGACACAAAUUAAAUAAAAAAACUCUGUGGUGAAUUUUUAUGUAUUAUUUUUAUAUAUUCUCUUUCUCUUUCUAUGGCAAAUAUAUUUUAUUUGUUUGUUUCAGAGAAACCUCAAUAUAUCAUCGCGUUGUCGCAUUUUAACUUUUUAAAUGCCAUUGUUAAUUUAGAAAUAUCAAAUCAAAACGCAUAACGCGUCAGCAUUAAUAUAUUUUCAGAUUUUUUUUAUUGUCUUUUUUACACAUUUUGAAAUUUAUAAAAUAAAUUGAUUAAAACUCAAUGCUUUUGUUCAAACGUCAGUUACGACAUUAACGAUUCCUGAAACCACAUUUCAAUUGAAACCGGCUUUCCGCUUAUUCACGAGAAAUCAGAAACCUUUUAAUCAGGAAUAUACUAUCCAAAUAUUGAUAAUAUUUGUAAUAAAGUAAUUAUAACUAGUAAAAACAAGGAAAGCGAUUUUGAUCAAAAGUUUUUACAAACUCGAAGAAAUCCGAUAUUAUUUAUUUUGUUAUCAAUUGCCGAUUUCGUUUGUCGAUAGCAAAUUCGUGCAUCGUGUUCAAAUCAGAAUUGUUAAUUGUUGUGUAUAGUGUACUGGGCAGACUUUAUACCAAUUAUUAAAUUUUUUUAAAAAUAGGAAUAGACAUAUUUGAAUGUAUAAUUAAAUUCUUAAUUAAAACAGUUAUCCAAAAUCAAAAUAAUUGUUAGAAUAUAAAGAUUUUUUGUAGUAUUACAUUUCCUUGAUAAACUUCCUUCAUAAUUAUUUAAUAAGUCCAACAAAAUUAUUUUCAAAUUUGUAUUGAAUUAAAUUUUUAUUAGAGAUGUGCGAUUUAAAGUUUUUGAUGCUGAAUCGAAUCGAAUUAAAUCGAACCAAACUCUCUACCUAGAACGAAUGGUUUUAUUAAAGAAUCUAAAAAAUAACAAAAAUCUGUAAAAUUAACUACAAAUAUGAAAAUUCGUUCACCGUCAAAAUAAUUAUAAAGAUUUAAGUUGCUAAAAUUAAAAAAUUUUUUGUAGCACUGUUCAUUGCUCUUGAGCGUUUAAAAUAAUUAAUUUGAUGAUACAGCGAAAUAUUAUUUUUAAAUCUGCAUCUAACUAAAUUUUUUAUACUUUAGCAAAAACCGUUCUUUCCGUAUAAUUGUGAAAUCUGACAUUAGAUGCAUACGGAUACGUGACUUAUGGUGAGAGAACCAAUGCCGCGGAGAAUAAAUGUCCGUGAAGUGAAUAAAUUCAAAUGGAUCCCUCGUAAAACAGUUUCUCGGCUCUGUGCACACCCCUUAGCUUUUUUUACGUCUGCCGGUGGUUUUACGAUCGCGCGUAUAUAGCUCUCGAUGUAAUGCGUGCAUCGUAAAGAUGCGUCGGCAAAUCCCGCCGUCCACGCGCGAUGUCGGGUCGAAUAUUGACCGUAACUCCUGCUUUUUCAAAUCGCGCUUAACGCGCUUUACCCUUGCCGAUCUUAUAAAGCCAUUAUGUCUAUAAUAAGAAGUCUAAAGAUGUAGAAAAUUACGUAUUAUAUUUAUAUUGGCAAUAGGUCUUGAACUAAAAGUUUUUUUAUUUUUAGAUAAUGUGUUCACGUAAAAAAAAUAUAAAAGAGUAGUAUAAGCGAUUGGUAAAGUUUGAUGAAUGAAUAAAUAGAUAAAUAUACGGAAAGAACGGUUAUGUUAAAAAAUCUAAAAAAAAUUAGUCAUGUAUGAAUAGAAAUGAGAAAAUAAUUUUCUUAGAUUAAAAUAAUUAUGUAAGGUACCCAAACUGAUUGUUAGAAUAUCAAAAUUUUUUUGUAGUAUUACUUAUCAUAUGGUUGCGUUUUCUUUAUAAUUAUUUUAUUAUAUAACACAAAGUCACUUUACAUAUGAAUAAAGAUUCGAAAUUUUUGAAUCAUAGAGAUUUUAAUUUGAAUAUUCGAAUAGUUCGUACAUCUCUAAUCUCUAGAUAUUUUAGUAAAAUUCUUUUGUGUAUAUGUUAUGUAUAAUUAAUAAUAAUUUGAUAAAAUAGAUUCUUUAAAUUUUAAUAUAAUCCAAAAUAGUCGUUAUUAAAAAUCCGAAAAUAAUUCAAUAAUAUUCUAAUUAUAUUAUCAACACAAAUAGGUAACACCGCGUUUCUAUGCAAUGCUGGAACUUUUAUCAUUCGCGUGAAUAAUACGUAUUUAAAACGAACAAACACGAGAUGGUACAAUCUGCGGUAUCAUUUACAAGUUAAAGUGUUACAGACUCCAUUCCCAUAAAAUAUAGCCCUAUUAUAAUUUACUUUCGUAAGUCUAAUUCACAGCAAAUUACAAAGUUUCAAAAUAACAGCUAUACAUGCUAUCGGUUGCAACAGCUCAGUGAAAAUCAUUGGGAGAUAGAAUGAAUCUGAUCUCUGCCGACGCGUUUGCACAUAAAGAUAUAAUGCAAUUUCAUGGGGUUAUUUGCGGAAUACGGCGGAAAAUUAUGGCAAUUCGUGCCCUUCGUCGCAUAUGUUGCUUUUAUGAUUCUGUCGGUGAGCAAUAUUAGCGACAUUUGAGAUUGAAAUGGCGCAUUCAGACGUACUAAGGUCCAGCUCAAUUUAGUGAUUAUUUAACGAUUCCCAAUGAUAGGAAUUAUAGAAAUAUAAUGUUUCAUAAAAAUCACAUAAUAAAAAGCAAUAAGUGCAAUAAACAGCAUGUUUCAAAUAUCUGAAUUUGCUAGCGCAAAGCGCGCGCACACACACAGACUAGCUACCAUGUUACUUCGCAUGUCGUUGAGAAUUACGACGAUUUCAAAAAAGCACAUUCACGUGUUUACGGGACCGUCGGCGCGUUUUCCGUCGAGUUUUUCGAGACUGCUUUGCUCGAGGGUUUGCUCGAGUCCGCUAUUUUCAAUGCAAAUCGUCUCCAGUUACACAAGAGCGCAUCGUUCGUAAUCCUCCAACGCGAAAAUUCAAAUUAUGCGUCGCGGAAUGGAAAUUCGCCGGCCGCAUAAGAAUAUCGCGCUAAUGAGCAAGCUAGACGACAGGAUCGAUUUUUUUUUACAUGACAAUGUAUAUAUCCGUUUCCUACGAACAUCGGUCGGCUACGAUAAACGUUUGUCGAUUUUGUCCGACUAUUCCCACGGGAGUCGCGGAAGUAAUAUAGUUGAAAUGGCGACGUAUCAGAUGGCGCACUAACUUUUGUCAUGAAUCUAUUAUGAACUCUUUCUUAUUCUUGAGUUCCCGUAACAAAGUACCACGACAUCGUAUCGCUAUGGCUUUGCUAGUUUUAUGGUUUAUAUUACACGAGUAUCAAGAUACAUGAACUUGUUAGUGCACAAGAUAUGGCAAGAUAUAAAUACGUAUAGAAUCAUUCCAGAAGUCGAUACAAAAGUAUUUCGGAAAUUUGUGAAAUAAGUCUUUUUAUUGUAAUGUUUUAUUUACACAAUUGAGGCUGAACAUUUGAAAAUUGCGAACAUAUGGUUUAUUUAUUUCAAGUUAAAAUGUCAAAUAUCUGAGAUACUUUUUAUAUGAUAACGUUUGCUUUGAAGAAUGUGCAUUUACACAAUCGUAGGUGAUUAAAAACGGAAGCAAAUGAAAUUUGUAUUGUACAAUAAUAAUCACGUAAAAAGAAAUUAAUGUGUCACGUAAUUGAACAGGUUUUAAUUAAUAUCCGUUCCGUUGAAGAAAGAAAUGGUACAGGUAAACGUUGUAUAAUAUAAUAUAAUAAUAAUAUAUAUUUCUUUAUUGAAUUAUUUUUUUAUGCAACGAUGUACUGUAAAAGUGCAACUGUAUGUGUUGCAUUUACGGAAAAAAUGAGUCAAUAGAAAAAAAUUGCUAUUAUACCAUUGAAUAUUUUUCUAUAUUAUAUUUUUUUCUGUCUUAAAAGCGGAUGCUAGAAUCUGUCCCAAUUGCACGUGACGCAUCCUGUAUAAAAGACUCCUUUCGAUGGACACGGACAAUUGUCUAUCCAUUUAUCUAUCCAGUGUACUGGAAAGACUGCACUCGUUUUAGCUUUUGUUAUUCAUUGUGCUGCGGUUUCCGAGCAAGCAAGAGAAUAUAUGGAAUGCAUAAAUCUGUUUAGCCGUUGAAUUCGCUAUGUUGACAUUUACACUGCAUACAAUGCGCAGUACAAACCAAUGUUUGCCGUACGAAUGGUCAAUUGAUUUAAUGCUGCAAAGACAUAUGCGUAUGUUUUUUAUCGCUUAUGACAUUGUUUGCCGUGAAACAAAAACGUUAGCAUAUGUAUCUCUGUUAUGUCGUGAAUUUUUAUUUGUGAUCUCGUUAAAAAAUAAAUUUCCAUUUCCUUUUGCUCUAUGUAAUAGUAAGAAGAGGCGUUAGGACCGCCGCGGAAAAUGUAGAUCGCGAAUACAAUUACGUCGAAGCUUACGAGAGUUAUCACUUAUUUCUUCGUCCACUUCAGCACGCGAUGUUCCAAGUUAGCGCAUACACGGCGCAAAGAUGUCUCAAGCAUGUAAAUUCGUGAUUAAGGACGUUACUUUCCAUCAAAACUUUAAAUUACUUCCGCUGUGUUCACGGGAUUCAAAGAGAUUAGAACAAAAAAAAGAAGAGGGGAAAAAAAAGGAAGAAGACGGGAAUAUUUCAUCGAGUCUAACGCCACCGUGCAUUGUGAGAGAAAGAAGUGCUUCUUUUUCCGUAUUAUACUUUGUACUCGACUUGUACACGCUUGUGCGGCCGUAUUCCCGGUGUUCGAGAACCGGGGGAAUUUCAAACAGUCCCAUUAGGGCGCGGCGUGGUACCGGCCGAUUUAUAAUUCCGUAUGCGCCUCGGAAUUAUUAAUGCGAAAACUUUUCUGAGAAUCGAGUCCCCGGCGUCCUAGAAACCGAUGGAAGGAAGGAGGGUAGAUUUUCUGUGUAACAUCUCUUUCAUGUUAACACAUGGCUCUCGACUCGAGCUUUGCUUUACACGCAGGAACUGACCUGGUUACAUCCUUACAUUACGGACUCGGCGGAAUUUAUUUAGCGGAUAAGUUGAAAAUUGACUCUUUCGAAAAUCACGUGAGCCUUUGUCAGAAAUUUUUUCCCGUAAGAAUUUGCACAUAAAACACAAGAUGCCGCGUGAUACGAGUUUUUUUUUUAUGAGAAAAAGAAGAGAGGCGUGUCGGUAUGGGAAUGAUUUGAAAAUAUUAUUUCUCGUGUCGUAUCUUCUCUUUUAAAGUUGCUAACCGUGAAUGUGAAAUAAAUGAAAUGUUAAGAACAAAAAAGUAAGAGCAAAGACUCGGGAUGUGCUGUUUUAAAGUGAGUUCUCGCGUCUCGGUCUCUUGCUCUUGCGAAAAAACUGACGAAACUUCUGAAAUAGAUCACAUUAACAGACUCCAGUUCGGACAGCGCAACUUUAUUUCGCAGAGAUCAUAAUUCUCUCGCGGAGCGGUAGGAGAGAGUGGUGUAGGGAGAAGAAGAACAUCACACAGAGCUUCGACUACGCCGCAUUCCUCUCCGACUCGACUUCGUCAAAAAGACUUUCGCGUCUGUACAGUUUCUUUUCAACCGUAAGGAAUCGCCGUAUAGCGUCGCGUCUCGGAGCGAGAUAGUUCAUCGCGAGCCGUACUGAGCCGAGUACAUAGUUUCCCGUCGUUUCUCGCACGCGCACCGGGCGCGCGUUUCCGGUACGUUAAACUUCCGUAAGGGAGUGAGAGAGGAGACGCUCGCGCCUCCUCCGAUCGAAAGUAAUUAAAUUCGUAGCGACACGCAGAAGCGUUUUCUCCGCGCGCGUGCUCGCGCGUGUUGUGUCGCGCGGCGGAAACGAAAAAUAGACGCCAGACAAGCCAGAUGCUGUCUAUUAUUCGGGAAAUACCGUCGGCCAUUCGGCCUCGCGACGACGCUUAGAAAAAGUAAUGCAUAGAAAAUGAGAUAAAUUUGCAAUGCAUUGUACGGAAUUUUGUUGCGCGAGAUGCAAUGAAACAUUCAUGUUCUUCUUCCGCGUAGGAACGACGGGCCGACGGGUAUCGCGCGUUGAAAAAAUCGCGAAUAUCAGUUAAAAAAAAUUGGCGUGUCGCUUCUUUUGACACAUAACGUUUGAUUUACGGUAGUGUGUCGAUGUAGCGUGAUUUAUAUGCCGCUGUUCGUAAGUCUGCGAAAAAAAAUUAAAGAAAUAGCAUCGAUCGACGCCAAAAUAUUGAUAUAAUCGUUAUUUUUCUACUGACAAUGAGAUUUAUCGUGAAACAUUGUAAAAUAUAGUUUUUUUGUUUUUUUUUUUAUUUAAAAGAUAUUUCUUUAUUAAAGACAGACGAAAUGCGCUUUCGUAAUUAACUUUCUUUUGUUUUUUUCAUUUAAUUUGGUGAAACAUGUAAGAUUUAUUCUCUUUGAUUAAAUAGAUGUAUAAUAUAUUAAUAGAAAAAAAUUCCAUGGAAAAAUCGUAUAAUGUAUUAAAAGUUUUUAACUUCUAUUAGCAAAAAAUACCUGAUGAAUUGUAACAAAGAGUAUAAAAUAUUUCUUCUCGUUUAUUUAACCUAUGGCAAGAGAAUAAAAGAGUUAACAUAUAAUGCAUUGUACUUUCUUUUAUUACAUUAAAAAUUUCUUUUGGAAUAAAAUGUAUUUUUAUCGAUUUUCUCAAUUAAAAUUACAAUGUUGAUAAUAAGCAUUCGUGCAUAUGAUUUUAAAUUUCUAUUCCAAGUUUAGAAUUUUAUUUAUGCAGCUUAUCUUUGUAAAAUGGAAUAUUUCUUAUACCGAGUUAUUUUAACUUAGAUAAUGUAACGAAGAGUCGCCGAUGGGCAAACGGCUGAUGCGAUCGGCGGCACAAAAAGAUGAGAUUUUUAUCGUAAAAAGAAAGAAAAAAAAAUAUCUAUCGUCUGAAAAAUGGAAAUUUCACGAGACGUGCAAUCAAGCCGAUUACAAUUGUAGGCUUCGAACGGUUGAACCGAUAAUCGAAGAAACCGCCGGCCCCCGGCCAUGACUAGAAUUUUCCGUGACAAUGGCGUGAUUAAUUCACCGCUAAUUGGCUGGUGCGCGAGUGCGGCGCAUCGCUGGCGUUAUCGUCGACUUCGUCGCGCGGCAACGACGUCGGGCGCCGUCCGCGGCGACGUCGCAUAAAAGCGCGUCUCUUUAUCUCGGCGCUCGCGAACCGUAUAACGUUCGCACAAAGGGGGUAAAAUUGCGAUUGUAUUUUUCGUUCGUUCCCGCUGAUCCGCACCUUUGCUCUCAAUCACUCCCACGGCAUAUCGUUCCAUUCUCGGGCUCGCCCUACUGAUCGAUCGACUCCUCUCUCGCUCCCGGUUUUUAUACCGCCGCAUCAGCGGAUUUAUCUACCUGCGCGCGCGCGCGCGCGUGUGUGUGUGUGUGUGUGUGUGUGUGUGUGUAUGCGUGCACGAGGAUAAACGCCACAUAAUCCAGCUGCCCGUGAUUGCUAUGUGACACGACCGGGGACGUAGCCGUGCACAUCCGCCACGGUAGGCUCGCGCGAGUUCUGUCAUUCGGUGUAUUCGGGUAGUCCACAUACCGUCGGGCCAGCAGCCGAACCCAGACCGUCAUGAUUAAGGUCAUUCCGCAGCCUAUGCAUUUAUUCCGGCGUUUUCCCCGUUCUCUUUCAUUCCUGCGUUUACCCUCCGGCGCGCUACCCCCUCUCCCCAUUCUCUUCGCCGGUCUCGCCAGAAUUUGCUCUCCGCGCCUCUAGCGAGUUUUUAAUUCUCGCCAGAGGCUUUUAAGCGGAUUAAAAGUACGGUAUUCUAUGAGCUAAUUAGCAUAAUAGUUAUUUAAUAAGACAGCACAGCUUACGAUGCACACUGGUGCGGGGGGAGGGGGAGACUUCUAUCACGGUUGAAUUCCUUUUGAAAAAUAUGCAUUCGUUGACUCUUAUUAACUGUUAUGUGUAUACAUAUAAUACGUAGGAACAAUGAUUGUGAAUGAAUAAGGUACGGUGAAAUUAAUACCGAUCAUAUUUUUCACUGUCUUUAUGCAGCUCUUAAAUCAAAAAGUCUUUGUAAUAAACGCAAGGGUUCAAGUACCGCUAUUCUCUUCAGAAUAGAAGAUAUUUAGGUCUUUAAAAGUCUCGCGUACUAUUAUUUUCAUUAUUCUAUUUAACUGUACAUUUUUAUCUUCAUUUUCUUCAUUUGUAUUAGUUAGGGUGCCUUUACUUUUUUUUGUGUGUUGAAGCGAUUAUCUUUCUCUUGUGUCUGCAAUUAAUUUCGGUGUAGCUUUUUUGGAUUUACGAGGACGCGCGACACACAAUAACGAGUAAUUCAGGCAUAUCGCUGGAAAUGCCCACGGAGAGCUUGGUUUCGAAAGAGAUGCGAAAGCAUCGAGAUCGUCCUCGCGUAUAUUCGGUGCUCUCGCAUUUUAUUUGCAUACGGAGCCGUAGCCUGCAAGCGCAAACACGAGUUUGGAGCCGAGUGCAUACCGGUCGUGAUCGCGUUCGAAUAAUACGAGUUAGCAAAACCCAACGGUCGGAACGAGUUAGAACCAGCGCGGAAAAUUAUCAAAAAAGCCGUACCGCGGCGAUCGGAAACUUCGUGAGUCUCUCUCUCUAUCUCUUUCUCUCUUUCUCUCUCUGUCUCUCUUGACGAUGUUUUUUCUUCUGCGGAGAACUUUAUCUCUGACCCAGCUGCAGUACCACCGUCAUGCCAGUUCUUUUCGCCCUCCUCGCGAAAAUCAAUCGCGUGUAUAAUAAAGUUAACCGCCGACGUAAUGGCGACCGUAUCGCCGCGGGGGAAGGCGGCGCGAUUCUCUCAAAAGAACGAGCGAGUUGCGAGGAAGAACAUCCGCGGACUCGGGGGUUAAUUAAAUCCUUUUUUACCUGCCCUGGCUGCCAUUGCCCUGCCGUUCUGCAAAUCAACCGGGCGCCAGGCGACAUUUUUAUGGACUGCUGCUCUCCGCUGAACAGCUCUGUGUUUAUUCGGAAUUUCCGUUUGUGUUAUUCUUCGCCGUUUUAUUCGCAUCACCUGCAUCGGGCUUUUGGCAUUCGGGCUUUCGUUGUUGCAGCAAUGUAAAUCGCGAUUGACGGACUGCCGUACGCAGCGAACCGGUGAUUUGGCGUAUUUUUUAUUUUUUUUUUUUUAAAGGCACAUUUUGAUCUUUCGCUAAACUACAAUCUGGAUGUUGACACGAAUUUCUUCCCGUACUAUGCGUUGAUA
rnacentral:lncRNA from 1 species